rnacentral:rRNA from 1 species
AUUGAACGCUGGCGGCAGGCUUAACACAUGCAAGUCGAGCGAGCGGCGGACGGGUGAGUAAUGUCUGGGAAACUGCCUGCUGGAGGGGGAUAACUUCUGGAAACGGUAGCUAAUACCGCAUUACAUCAGGUGAGUCCAGAUGGGAUUAGCUAGUAGGUGGUGUAAUGGCUCACCUAGGCGACGAUCCCUAGCUGGUAUGAGAGGAUGACCAGCCACACUGGAACUGAGAGACGGUCCAGACUCCUACGGGAGGCAGCAGUGGGGAAUAUUGCACAAUGGGCGCAAUCCUGAUGCAGCCAUGCCGCGUGUGUGAAGAAGGCCUUCGGGUUGUAAAGCACUUUCAGCGAGGAGGCGUUACUCGCAGAAGAAGCACCGGCUAACUCCGUGCCAGCAGCCGCGGUAAUAC